rnacentral:rRNA from 1 species
UACGGGAGGCAGCAGUGGGGAAUAUUGGACAAUGGGCGAAAGCCUGAUCCAGCCAUGCCGCGUGUGUGAAGAAGGUCUUCGGAUUGUAAAGCACUUUAAGUUGGGAGGAAGGGCAGUAAAUUAAUACUUUGCUGUUUUGACGUUACCGACAGAAUAAGCACCGGCUAACUCUGUGCCAGCAGCCGCGGUAAUACAGAGGGUGCAAGCGUUAAUCGGAAUUACUGGGCGUAAAGCGCGCGUAGGUGGUUCGUUAAGUUGGAUGUGAAAUCCCCGGGCUCAACCUGGGAACUGCAUUCAAACUGACGAGCUAGAGUAUGGUAGAGGUGGUGGAAUUUUCCUGUGUAGCGGUGAAAUGCGUAGAUAUAGGAAGGAACACCAGUGGCGAAGGCGACCACCUGGGACUGAUACUGACACUGAGGUGCGAAAGCGUGGGGAGCAAACGAGGAUUAGAUACC